rnacentral:misc_RNA from 1 species
AAGAGUACCCACUGAAUACUUUGGUAACUUGGUCCUGUGGGCAUUUCCAAGUGCUAGGGUUAAAGACCUACUGCGAGAGCCAUUACCUUAUGCAGCUAAGCUCAUUCAUGAAGCAAUUGCAAAGGUGAACAACAGUUACUUCAAAUCAUUCGUCGACUUUGCCACCCACAAGGCGGAGAAGGAAGAAGACCUCGUGCCCACGGCGGAGAUGAACAAGUCGGUCUUGUGCCCUAAUUUGGAGGUUGAUAGCUGGCUAAGAUUCCCAUUUUAUGACCUGGAUUUUGGAGGAGGAAGUCCUUAUAUAUUCACGCCAUCUUAUUUUCCAACAGAAGGAAUGAUGUUUCUUCUACCUUCAUUCAUCGGA